rnacentral:snRNA from 1 species
GUGCUCACUGCAACAGCAUGUGUACUAAAACUGAGACAAUACAGAUAAUAUUAGCAUGGCCCUGAAAAAUGAUGACAUGCAAUGCAAUCCCUAUUAAA